AACCUGGGGCCAGGGUUACUCAUAUGCCUCUCUCAGGAAACCAGGGUAAACAAACAAAUAAAAAUCACUAAGCAGCCUAUAGAACGUGUAUUUACACUAAUCAAGAUUUAUUACCAACCCUAUACCAAUUAGCUAAUGUUCAGUGACAUUUUUUAAAAGUUAGAAAAGGACAGUUCCCCAAAAGGCAUGCUAAAAUGUCUUCUUUAAUGUAAGAGGACGGCUAAGAACAGAAAGCCUCCAGCUUUAGAAGCUAAAGAAUAAAUGUGUAAAGAACCAUAAAGGUCACCACAGACCAGCUUCCCAAGCCAAAUGAAAAACCACACUAUAACACAGAUGGAUUUUAAAGGAUGAAUCUUUUUUUCCAACAAAUGAAAUAUAACUGGCUUAGAUGAGAGGUGAUAUUUCAACAAGCAUUCUUGAACUUGAAAAAAAUCUAAGAUAAAUCACUACCUCCAUGUUCUCCCAAACAACAUGAAGGCCUGAGCACAAUGCCACCCACUCUCUACAAACAUCACUGGAUCCCAGGUGAUUGCUGACCAAUGCUUUGUUUCCUGCUUUCCUUCCUUCCUUCUUUCCUUCUUUCUUCCUCCUCCUCCUGCUUCUUUCUCCUCCCUCCCCUUCUCUCUUUUACGGUUUUAAAUAAUCAAACCCCGUUGCAACUUACCCUGUUUACCAGUUUCUUUGCUCGGUAUGAACAAGCUAGUUCCCUUGGGGAUGAGUUGCUAGAGGUACUGAAAGGUGAAUGGAGCUGGAUUUGUGUUUUAUGAGACUGAAGAGCCAAAACAGGCUAUGAAAUAUUUCACCUGGAAAUUUAUAGUGAUUUUCUUUUUUUUUUUUAAUCCGGAGACUUUUCAGAAUAUAUGGUCUGCUACACUGCUGGAAAUGGAAUCAAGCAGGUCACUUUUUCUUUUGUCUCUAAACAGAGAGCAUGUCUUAAUAAUUGUAAAAUCUGAGGUUUUCAACUGGAGGGGUGGAGGAGGAGGAGGAAAUCUAAAAUUGGGGGGGGGGGGGCGUCUUUAUCCUGCCAGAUGGUAGUGGGGAUUUCACUUCCGGUUCGGCAGAGCUGAAAGGAAGGAACUGGCACAUUGUUAUCAAAACUAGGAAGGCUUAAAGGAAGAGGCAGGAAAGGGUAGAGAAAUUGACAGAGAAGAUUAUUCCUGGGAUAUGGAUCUUGUGCAAAGGACCUGAAGUCAUGAAGAAUGGAAAGGAAGUGUGGGUAGAGAGACGCAGAAGUGGGCUAGUGACCCUGGACUCAGGCUGAGCCCAGCAGGUGCCCCUGCAGCCCCCACGUCAGUCCCAGCCGGGGCCCCCCAGGGCCAAGGUCCUCUGAUUCUAAGUUGCUGCAAUACUGGAAAAAAAGAAAGCCCACUUUCCACAAAGGCGCAGGCCCAUCCGACUUUGCUAAACUCAUGUUUUCAUUUUUAUUGUUUGCUCCUUUGUAAGAAUUAGUUUGCAUCUGUUUGCUACGGCUGCCAUAACAAAAAGCCACACGCUGAGCAGUUCAGCCACAGAAACUCUCACAGCUCUGGAGAAGUGCACGAUCUCGGAGCCUGGGCAGGGUGGGCUUGUCCUCGGGCUGGAAGGCCAGCUGCUGGCGGUGUGCUGACCAUCCUGGCCUUCCUUGGCUGCUGCUGCAUUGCCCCUGUCUUCACCUGGCAUUCCACCAUGUGUAUCUCUGUGUUCAAAUGUCGCUGUUUCACAAGGACACCAAUCAUAUCGGAUUAGGGGCCACUCUACCCGAGGAUGACCUCAUCUUAACUAAUUGCAUCAGCAACAACGCUACCUCCAAAUAAGGUCAUACUGGGGACUUCCUUGGCAGUCCAGUGGCUAAGACCCCGAGCUC